rnacentral:misc_RNA from 1 species
GUGCUGCACCAACACCAUCGACUCCACCAUGGCGACCGUCCUGCCGGCCGUCGCCGCGCUCGCCCUGGCGGCCCUGGCGGCCCUGGCGGCCCUCCCCGCCGUCGUGGCGCUGCCCCUCGUCCCCGCCAUCUCCUACAACGGCGGCCAGGGCAUCAUCACCGGGGCGCGCCUCCGGAGCGGCGGGCUGCACACGGCGAGGGACUACGCCGCCUUCUGGGGGGUGCCGUACGCCGAGCCGCCCGUCGGCAAGCUCAGGUUCAAGCCCCCGCAGGGCCGGGACCUCCCCGACGGCAUGUUCGCGGCCACCAACGUCAGCACCCCGGAGUGCAUCCAGCAGAGCCGGCACCCGCUCGAGAUCCACGGCGCCGAGGACUGCCUCACGCUGCAGAUCUACACCCCGAACUACGACAACCCCGUGCUGCCCGUACUCGUGCUGAUCCACGGCGGCGGCUUCAUGUUCGGCCGCGGCCCCCGCGAGGGCGUGCAGUUCGUCAUGGACCACGACGUGGUGCUGGUCAACGUGGACUACCGCGUCGGCCUCCUCGGCUACAUGAGCUUCGAGGACGACACACUGCGGGGCAACCUGGGCAUGCUGGACCAGGUGGAGGCCCUGCGCUGGGUGCAGCGCAACAUCCACCUCUUCGGCGGCGACAACAAGAACGUCACCCUGGUCGGCAACUCGGCCGGCUCGGCCAGCUGCCUGCUGCACACCAUGUCCCCGUUGUCCAAAGGGCUGUUCCACAGGGUGAUCGGCAUGAGCGGGACCCCGCUGAACCCCUGGACGCGGCAGUACUCUGCGCGCGAGAACGCCCACAUGGUGGCCAACCUGACGGGCUGCGACGCCCCCACCACGGCCGAGAAGAUCAGCUGCCUGCAGAACCAGUCCGCCACCGACCUGGUGGCGCUGCAGGGGACCCACUUCCAGCACUGGAUGAACAACCCGUUCUCGCCGUUCGCCCCCGUCGUGGACGGCGUGUUCCUGACCGAAGAACCCGGCAAGCUGCUCAACAAGAGGGGCGCCGUCAUGGACGUGCCGCUGCUGCUCAGCUUCACGUCGGAUGAAGGGCUGUACACUGCCGGAGAGUUCAUCAUGAACGACGCCCUGGUGCGCGAACUGGACGAGAACUGGGAGACCGUGGCGCCGCAGCUGCUGCACAUGCACGACAAGCGAGUCCCCGAGGCGGACAAGCCGGACCUGGUCCAGAAGGCCCGCAAGUUCUACCUGGGCAACCAGACCCUGGUGGCGGCCAAGUCCGAGCUCGUCAAGCUGAUGAGCGACCGCAACUUCGUGGCCGGGCUGGCGGACUACGUGACGCGACGCGCCAAGGACCAGUCCAGUGCCGUGUUCGUGUCCGAGUUCGCGCACCGCGGCCAGUUCGGCCUCUACCCCGGCGUCCCGGGGGUGAGCCACGCCGACGACUUCCAGUACUACAUCGAGUUCACGUGGUGGAGCGGCAUCUUCACGCGGCCCGAGGACAUCGCCGUGCGCAAGAACCUCAUCGACAUGUGGGUCGCCUUCGCCGAGACAUCCAACCCCAGCAUCCACGGCAUCGACUGGCGGCCCACGGACGGCAAAGACGGCUCGGUGAACUACCUGCGUAUCGCUGGCCCCGAGGACAAGGACAUGGCCAUGGCCCAGGACAAGGACCUGGGCAACGCCAACUUCUGGAGAGACUUGCGCAUCGAACCGUAAGUUGUCUGGACUGUCUUUGUCUCUGUUUGCUGUCCAAUAGUCCUUUGUAUUGUCCGUGUGCACUGUAAUAUAUGUUUAUAUGUUUAUUUUUAGCGAUCUUUGUGGGCAAUUCGUUCAUCUGCGGUGUCUUUAUUUUUUUGUCAUUGUUUUUGUUGCUCUUGUGCUUAUUUUUCUGUCCUCACGAAUCUCAUUAAAGACAUGCUCAUCUCUA